rnacentral:lncRNA from 1 species
GCAUUCCCUAUGUACAAAGAGCUAAACAGAGAUGUGGAGAGAUGUGAAAAAUGUAAGAAUGAACCAAAUUGAGCUGUCAGUAUGAACAUGGCAAUGUCUGAGAUAAAAAAUACACUGGAUGAGAUUACUUAAAGAUAUACCAAUAGAAAAUAUUCCAAAUGAAAUGAAAAAACAAGAAUUUUUUUUAAAUGAUAAGAGUAUCAUUGAGCUAUAGGACAAUUUCAGGUGGCCUAGUAUACAAGUAAUUAGAGGGCCUGAAGGAAAGAAUAGGGAGGGACAAAAACAUUCUGAAAAAAGAAUGGAUUUUUAUUUUCACCCCCAACAUGUAAAGAGCUCCCAUCCUUCCACCGGAAAAAGCAGAACAACCUGAAAAUCACUAACUUUCUCAGACCCAUCAGAGACUUGAGAUUGUAGAGCAAAUCACUCUCCUGAAAUCAGAGAAAUGGGGAAGUCCAGAGAGUUGUGGCCAAGAUUGGCUUACUGGAGUAGAAGCCAUGGGAGACACAAACAGACACAGACGUAAACAGAAAACCUACAGAAUGGGGGAGAUAUUCUCAAACUAUGUAUCUGAAUAAACAGAAAACCUACAGAAUGGGGGAGAUAUUCUCAAACUAUGUAUCUGACGAAAGUCUAAUAUCCAGAAUCUAUAAGGAACUUAAACAAUUUGAUGAGUGACAAUAGCAAAGACAUGGAAUCAACCUAAGUGCCCAUCAAGGGUAGAUUAGAUAAAGAAAAUGUGGUACAUAGACACUAUGGAAUACUACACAGCCAUAAAAAAGAACAAAAUCAUGUCCUUUGCAGCAUGGAUGCAGCUGGAGGCCAUUAUCCUAAGUGAAUUAACAGAAAACCAAAUACUGCAUGUUCUCACUUAUAAGUGGGAGCUAAGCAUUGGAUACACAUGGUGAACAGCAGUUAUAGCCCAACUUGAUCUAAUUCACAUUUUAGAUUACCUCAUCCAACAACAGAAUAAUACACAUUAAUCUCUAGCUCAUGUGGAACAUUCAUCGUGAUAGACCACAUUCUAGAAUAAAACAUACUUUAAUUGAAAAGAAUAGAAAUUAUAUAUUGUAGGAUUCAGCAAAAGCAAUGCUGAAUAUAGCAUUAACUGACUAUAAUUAGAAAGGCAAUCAGUAACCUAAGCUCCCACCUUAGGCCUAAAACAAGCAGAAGAAAAAUUUAAUAAAAAUUAGAGGAUAAAUGAAUGAAAUUCAAAACAGAAAAAAACUAACAGAAAUAACAGCUGGUGCUUUGAAAAUAUUAAUAAAAUUCAUAAACCUCUAGCUAGGUUAGGCAAGAAAAAAAGAAAAGACACAAAUAAUCAAUAUCAGAAAUGAAAAAGUAUCAUCACUGUUGAUCCCAUGGACUGUGAAAGCAUAAUAAAGAAAUUCUAUAAUUAACUCUAUACCCACACAUUUCACAUGGAUGAAAUAGACCAAUUUCCGGAAAGACACAAAUUACCAAAACUUACACAAGGUGAAAUAAAUAACCUGGAUAUCCCUGUAUCUAUUAAAGAAAUUGAAUUAAUAAUAGUAGCCUUCCUAAAAAGAAAUUACCAGGCCCAAAUGGUUUUAGCAGUGAAUUCUAUUAAAAAUUUAAGGAAGAAGUCAUACCAAAUUCUCCACCAAAAAAUCUCUUCCAAAAAAUCAAGGUGACAGACACACUUUCUAACUCAUUCUAUGACGACAGCAUUACUGUAAUAACAAAACUCAGAUAAAGAUAUUAUGGGAAAGGAAAACUAUAGACCAAUAUCUCUCAUGAAUAUAAAUGCAAAGACCUUCUUAAAAUUAGCAAAGUGAAUCGAAUAAUAAAUAAAAAGAAUUAUGAAGUACGAUCCAAAUGGGAUUUAUUCUAGAUAUGCAAGAUGGGUUCAGCAUUCAAAAAGCAAUCUCUGUAAUCCACAUAUCAACAGACUAAAGAAAACAAUAUAUAACCAUAUCAAAUGAAGCAGAAAAUUUAUUUAACAUUUUUCUCUCUUUGGCUUCUUUCUGCUCUUUCUCUUCUUCCCUUUCCCUGUCUUCCUCUUCUCCACUACUCCUCUACUACUCCUCUUCUCCUCUACUCCACUUUUCUGAAGGGGGAAGACAUUAGCUCUCCA